AGCAGCCGCGGUAAUUCCAGCUCCAAUAGCGUAUAUUAAAGUUGUUGCAGUUAAAAAGCUCGUAGUUGAAUUUCGGGAUCAAAUUGUCGGUCGUGCCUCGGUACGUACUGGCGUUAUUGGUUCCUCCCUUCUGAAGAACCGCGAUGUCAUUAAUUUGGUGUCGCGGGGAAUCAGGACUGUUACUUUGAAAAAAUUAGAGUGUUUAAAGCAGGCUCGCGCUUGAAUACAUUAGCAUGGAAUAAUGAAAUAGGACGUUUGAUUCUAUUUUGUUGGUUUCUAGGAUCGACGUAAUGAUUAAUAGGGAUAGUUGGGGGCAUUAGUAUUCAAUUGUCAGAGGUGAAAUUCUUGGAUUUAUUGAAGACUAACUACUGCGAAAGCAUUUUUGCCAAGGAUGUUUUCAUUAAUCAAGAACGAAAGUUAAGGGGAUCGAAGACGAUCAGAUACCGUCGUAGUCUUAACCAUAAACUAUGCCGAACUAGGAAUCAGACGAUGUUAAUUUUUAA
rnacentral:rRNA from 1 species